rnacentral:rRNA from 1 species
CAUUCACGGAGAGUUUGAUCCUGGCUCAGGACGAACGCUGGCGGCGUGCUUAACACAUGCAAGUCGAACGAUGAACCACUUCGGUGGGGAUUAGUGGCGAACGGGUGAGUAACACGUGGGCAAUCUGCCCUUCACUCUGGGACAAGCCCUGGAAACGGGGUCUAAUACCGGAUAACACCUUCCCUCUCCUGAGGGAGGGUUAAAAGCUCCGGCGGUGAAGGAUGAGCCCGCGGCCUAUCAGCUUGUUGGUGAGGUAAUGGCUCACCAAGGCGACGACGGGUAGCCGGCCUGAGAGGG